CCUAAACUCUGGUAGACACCAAUGAACUAACAUUUCUUGCUAAUAAAAUAAGCAAAAAACAGAGAACUCUGUAGACAAAAAAGAUGGAUUAUAAGAAGAAAGGAAAACAAAUCAUAUCUGCAACAAUUGCAUUCAUGUUUAUGAAAGUGAAUCCAAGUCGAAAAGAAGAAUCCAUUUUGUGGGGAAUUCUCUAAAAACAUUCGAAGUUUAUGAGGAAGAUUAAGAUGCAACCCCUCAAUAUUUCAUUACAUGUUUCAAGGCCUACCAUAUAGCAAUAAUACAGUGUUUAAUCUGAUAGGACUCUCUUUUAUGUCGUCCUGCUAAUUCGUCUUCUCUAUCAUUUCAACUUUCAUUCUCGAGAAGUUCUAGAUACACAACUGAAAAAGGAUAGGAAGGCAGCGAUAUCUAACCCGGGGAGUUAACAGAAAUGGGCAGCUAGAGUUGGGAAUUAAGAGACGAACUCUGAUGAAUUCCGCAACACUUAGUUUUGCAAGAUUUCUUUAAGCAUUUCAACAACCUUUUUCAUCAUAGGCCGUUUGGCUGGUGUGCUUUCGGUGCAAAGUAGUGCCACCUUUAGAGCCGCAAGCAUUUCUUUUCUCCAAGCAAACGAAACGGUGCUUAGCCUUGCAUCAAGAAUCUGCUCUGGGGUUUCCCCUCGCGCAGGUGCAGUAUGAACCCACUUCACCAAAUCUAUGCCUUCACCGAAUUCCUCAUCAACUGGUAGUCUAGUUGUAAGGAUCUCGAGCAACACAACUCCAUAGCUAUAAACAUUUCCAGGUGCUGUAACUUGCAUUGUAUAUGCAUAUUCUGUUAUACACAAAAAGAAUUAGACAGAUUAUAAUGGAAGGAAGAAAAUCAUUGAUAAGCAUUCCAAAGGGGUACCUGGAGGAAUAUAUCCAAAUGAACCAGCAACGGCACUAAUACUUGCUGUCCCUCUGGAUGGGUCGAGGAGUUUCGAUAUUUCAACUUCACCGACCAAAGGCCUGAGAUUGGAGUCUAGAAAUACAUUACUGGAUGAGAUAUCAAGGUGGAUAAUGGCCACGUGAUGAAGGAAUGCCAACCCUUCUGCCACUCCGAUGGCAAUGGCAAGUCUUGAUGGCCAGUCUGGUUUAUAAUCCGGUUUCUUAGUAGAGUCAUGAAGAAAUUGGGCCAAUGUCCCGUUUUGAAAGUAAUGGUGCAACAAAAGAACAGCAUCUUCAUAGAUUACAAACCCAAUAGGUCUCAUCAGAUUGUCAUGACAGAGUUUGCUCAGUCUUUCGAGUUCUCUGAUCAUCUUGUUCUGAUGAUGGAUUAUAGUUUUAUCCAUCGAUUUCAGUUUUUUGACGGAUAAAAUCAUCCCUGAAGGCAUGUCCGCUCGGUAGACACUGCUAAACGUUCCACUACUGAGCUUGUUUGACUCUUUCAUGGUUGCUUUUGCAACUGCUUCGAACUCUAUUGCCUGCCUGAGGUUUUCGAUAAAAACAUUUCCUGCCAAUAUCACUGGCUUAUUAUUAGUUUCAUCAGCAGAAAUUCCCGAAUCUUUGGCCUCUUUUUCUUGUUUCUCCCUCAUCAUAAACAGCAAAACGACCACUGUCACAGAUACGAAAACUGCCAAACCAGAACCAAUAACAGCUAAUAUGAUCCUGUACGAGACCUUGUGAUGGUAAUCGUUAUGACCAUAAGCAUUCAAACUUCCGCACGAAAUACUUAAUGGUUCACCACAGAGCCCUUUGUUUCCAAUAAAGCUCGAAUUUGGGCUCUUUUGGAACGGCACAAAGGAAGGUAUAGGACCAGUGAAAUGAUUAUUCGAAAAAUUAACCUCUAUCAAGCUGAGCAUGCCUUUCAGAGUCACCGGAAUAUUUCCACUGAGCUGAUUAUUGGAGAAAUCCAAAGAAACCAACUUGUCAAGUCUUCCAAGCUCUUGGGGCAAUUGUCCAUGGAGAUGAUUCGAGCUUAAAUUAAGUGCAAUCUGCAAGUUCUUUAUAUGACCAAUCUCGGGAGGAAUACUUCCUGUCAGAUAGUUACUUCCCAACUGUAAUUCAAGCAGUUUUGUGCAGUUCCCGAUCUCAUGAGGUAUCUCCCCUCUUAUCGAAUUCUGACCUAACAGCAGGUAUUGCAGUUUAGACGUGUUGCAAAUGCUCUCCGGUAUGGAGCCAUUAAAUCUGUUAUUGCUUAAAUCAAGCUUGUUAAGAUUCUUGCCCCUGAGAAUUGAUGUGGGGAUCUCUCCAAACAGACUAUUCCCAGAGACAAUCAACUCCUGCAGAUUGCUGAGAUCUCCAAACUCACUCGGGAUGGUUCCAGUCAAGCCAUUUGAGGCUAAAUUAAGGAGAGUGAGAUUAGAGCACUGUGCAAACUCGGAGACAAUCUCCCCCGAGAGAUCAUUGUUAUCAGCUUCAAAGUAUGUAAGGCUGCUGAUAUUUCCAAUAUCUGUAGGAAUGCUCCCAAUCAACUUGUUGUCCCCAAUCCUAAUACUCGAAAGGCCUUUACAUUUCCCAAUCGAUUCAGGAAUACUGCCGGCCAAUAAAUUCUUUGUCAAAACCAAAACUUCAAGCUUCUCCAUAGAGAAAAUGCUCUCAGGAAUUGGCCCCUCUAGUCUAUUCGAAUGAAGGUUCAAUAACUCAAGUCCGGAAAAUGCACCUAAAUUAUCUGGAAUCGUACCACUCAACUCAUUUUCAUACGCUGUAAAAACUUCCAGAUUAGUCAAAUUUCCCACCCACAAUGGGAUAGAACCAUUCAAUCUAUUAGUAAAUAUUUGAAACUCCUGCAAAUUCUCUAGACUCUCAAGCUCAUUAGGAAUCGCUCCAGUUAGCCAAUUGUUCGAAAGAUUCAAUGCUCUAACAUUUCGUAGUCUACUGAAUUCCACAGGUAUUGAACCAUCAAAUUUAUUAAAUGACAAAUCAAGAAAUUCAAGCUGAGAUAAAUUCCCAAAAACUGGUGGGAUUAUUCCAUGGAAAUUAUUGUUUGAAAGAUCAAGCCAUUUUAGUCCUUUGAGCUCAGAAAUUAGAGUGAAAUUACCUUGAAGCCCAUGCCCAGAAAGAUCAAGCCUCUCCACCAUUGAAUUGUUUAAGCUGCAAAUUAUUCCAGGCCAAGAACAGUAAUCUGAGUUAUUAACGCCCCACCCAGAUAAUCUAAACUCUUUCUCAAUGGCUAAUAAUGGUAUUUCAUCGUAAAAAACCUGAGCAAUCACAAGUUGAGACCUCAAAAACAACCCAAAAAGCAAAAUAUUCAACAAACUUAAAAUUGCCAUUCUUGGGUUGCCUUCAAUGUAUAUUAAAAAAAAAAAAACCAGAAGAAGAAUCAAAAGACUAAAUGGUUUUUUAAUUUUGCUCAAAAGACCCACAUGAAGGUCUCAUUUUUCUUGAACUGGGCUUGUUCCAGAGAUGUUGAUAUUCAAGAAAAUAAAAUGUGAAGAUGACAAUACAACCAGACCAAAAAAAUGGAAAUCUUUGUACAAAAAGAAGUGGAGUUGAUGAUGAGGGGUCUAUGUCAACCAGAACAAGGUUGCAAGAAAGUGGAUGAGAGAAAUGAAGACGAUGAAACAACAAUAGUACUAUGUUUGGGGUAACUGGGUUCACGGGUCAGGUGUUUUGUGCACUGUCGGAGAGGGAGAGAGCUGUGAAUACAAUAUGAAAAUCCAACUUUAGCUUCACGAGAAAUGAGCAGUGAUGAG
rnacentral:lncRNA from 1 species